rnacentral:rRNA from 1 species
AUUGAACGCUGGCGGCAUGCCUUACACAUGCAAGUCGAACGGCAGCACGGGAGCAAUCCUGGUGGCGAGUGGCGAACGGGUGAGUAAUAUAUCGGAACGUGCCCAGUCGUGGGGGAUAACGUAGCGAAAGCUACGCUAAUACCGCAUACUAUCUAUGGAUGAAAGCGGGGGAUCGCAAGACCUCGCGCGAUUGGAGCGGCCGAUAUCAGAUUAGGUAGUUGGUGAGGUAAAGGCUCACCAAGCCGACGAUCUGUAGCUGGUCUGAGAGGACGACCAGCCACACUGGGACUGAGACACGGCCCAGACUCCUACGGGAGGCAGCAGUGGGGGAAUUUUUGGGACAAUGGGCGCAAGCCUGAUCCAGCAAUGCCGCGUGCAGGAUGAAAGGGUCUUCGGGUUGUAAACUGCUUUUGUACGGAACGAAACGGUGAGCUCUAAUACAGUUU